CAGGCUGCUGUCCCAGAUGGGAUGCUGGGCUCGAGGUCCAAUCCACUCUAGCAAGUCCUUUGUUCUUAUUUUGGAGGUGAGAUUUACUCAGCAGAGACGAUGCGUAUCCCAUGGAUCUCAGGCAGAAGCAACCAGUGAGAGAGCAGCAUCUUUUUGAGGCUCGUAAAUUGGGGACAGCUUACAUGAUGGUCCUACAUAGAGCCCCAUCAGUUCAGUGCCUAUGAAUUCAUGAUGCAGACUAAGACCUUGUUGGGAACACUGGGGCAUGGCCACUAGGUAACUCGAGGGGAUGGAAGACCAUGAGUGUCGAUGAAGCCCCCUCGCACUAGGCCCCGGUGUCCUUCCCCCCCCCCCCCCCCGCCUGGAGGCACUCGCAGCAGCUCUGUGUGCUAGGCCCAAGUGUCCUUGGCCCCCCCAGCCUGGAGGCACACACAGCAGUUAUGCUGAGAAUCUGCAACAGUAUGUUGCAGAGUCAGACUGCCUGAAACUAAGCAAGGCCAAACAGGACAGAGAUGGAAGAACAAGGCUGAAUAAAGCAGCUUUAUGUAUAGUUUAACAAAUGAUACAGAGAAUCAGGGAACUAGCUGGGAACUGGAUUGGCUGGCUAUAUGGAUACUUGGAGCAGCUUGCUAUUGGAUAAGUAUGCUGGGAAAAAGGAUGUAUAAAAGCCUGUGUAACUUCCUGCUCUGUUGUACAGGAUUUGAGAUUCAAAUCUCCCUGUACCUUUUUGAAGCUUCAAAUAAACUUUUCUGCUUCUCCACCCCGUUGUGAUUAUUGGGUGUAGCACACCGGGUAACGAACCAACUCAAGCUGUUGUUCAGCCUCUCGGCACUGGGUGCCGGCAACAGCUUUUGGCGUCCCUGGGUGGGCGACGAGGCUGCAAUUUAGCCUUGCCCGGACCCCUCCUGGAGGUCGAGGAUUGCGGCGAGAACCAACGCCCCGCGCGCACCGGUGAGUUCAUCGGGGGCCUCGGAGGAGACGCGAUUUAAUCGACCCCAGAGGGCACAACGGUGCAACGCACUCAUAUAGUGGAGAAGCUGUUGUGGACGGCGGUGAAGAACCGGUCCCUUAGACGUGGGGGAGGAGCAGCUGCAGGCCACAGUGAAGAACCGGACCCUUGGAUAAGGCCCACUCCUUUCCGAACGCCCAGUGAUGCUCCUGGUGAGGAUGAAGAUAAAGGAGCACAUCACUGGGACUAAGAGGCACUUGCAAGGAGAGCAGCAGAUCAUGCAGAUCACCAAGGUUGGCAGUGCUGGUUGGGCUCAUGCUGUGUGACGGGUCCUCAGGGCUGACAGCUGCAGUACACCAGAGAAUUUUUCAGAGGGUCUCUGCUCUCAGAUACUGUUCAGACCUGGACAUGCGAACCCUGGGGUGGGAAAAUAAAACUGAGCUCACUUGCUAAGGGAUGCAAUGCACAGAGGAUCACCCAUCCUCUGAAAGGAAGCAUGUGCAAAGGAAUGCAUACAGGAGAGUGUACAGCUGCAUGUGUUUCAAGGAUCACAGGAUCUUCUCCUUCCCAGAGGCUAGCGAAGAUUAGAAGGUGAAAAAAACGCACUCGUGAUGAAAUGUUCUCUGAGCUCAUGCUGUCCUCCCACACUGACAGAGCACAGACGAAUGCGUGGAGGCAGAUAAUGUCAGAGUGCAGGAAAGCACAAAAUAACCGGGAGAAGAGGUGGCGGGCUGAAGAGAGUAAGUGGCGGGCUGAAGACAGGGCUGAAGCUGAAAGGUGGUGGCAGCGUGAUGAGAGGAGGCAGGAUUCAAUGCUGAGACUGCUGGAGGAUCAAACCAAUAUGCUCCACCGUAUGGUUGAGCUGCAGGAAAGGCAGCAGGAGCACAGACCGCUGCUACAGCCCCUGUGUAACCAACCGCCCUCCUCCCCAAGUUCCAUAGCCUCCUCACCCAGAUGCCUAAGAAUGCAGUGGGGGGGCCUCCAGCCACCCAGCCACUCCACCCCAGAGGAUUGCCCAAGCAACAGAAGGCUGGCAUUCAAUAAGUUUUAAACUGCUGUGUGGCCUUGUCCUUCCCUCCUCCACCACCCCUCCUGGUGCUUCUCUCCUCCACCCCCCUCCCGGGCUACCUUGGUAGUUAUCCCCCUA